rnacentral:rRNA from 1 species
UACGAAGGGAGCUAGCGUUGUUCGGAAUCACUGGGCGUAAAGCGCACGUAGGCGGAUGUGUCAGUCAGGGGUGAAAUCCCGGAGCUCAACUCCGGAACUGCCUUUGAUACAGCACGUCUUGAGUCCGAGAGAGGUGGGUGGAAUUCCUAGUGUAGAGGUGAAAUUCGUAGAUAUUAGGAAGAACACCAGUGGCGAAGGCGGCCCACUGGCUCGGUACUGACGCUGAGGUGCGAAAGCGUGGGGAGCAAACAGG